rnacentral:lncRNA from 1 species
UGUUUCAUUAUUUUACAGAAAUAUAAAAAUAUAUAAUUAAAAAUAAUUAAAAUUAUUUAAUUUAUUAAUAAAAAUAAAAUUCAAAAAAAAUUAAAACUAAAAAAUUUUAUAUAUAAAUAAGUUUUGAAUUUAUAAUACAAGAACCGAAUAAAAAAGAACUAAGAGUCGUUCAUCGCCCAGUAGAAUUCAUCACUCCUCCUCGCGACAUCCGCCUCGGCAUGUGUGUCGGAUGAUGACUCGCCUGGAAUAGGAUUUUGUUGUCGCAAGUUCCUCAACAAGGUCUCCCAUUCCAGAUUUGUGGCCGCUACAACGUCC